CUCAUUAAUUUUACUGAUAGGCUUGGAUCGUUGUGGGCCUGUGGCAACAGUGAACAGUAUUUACGAGAAGAGUGUCUAAUAUCUGCAGAAUAUUUCAGAGAGGAAAAUAUAGAUUGUUCUCGCUGUUCAGGAAUACAAAGCGGAGGUUUUCUUUAUUGCGUAAGGCCAUUUUUCAGUGGCAAUAUUCGUGGAGGCGCAUGCAGAAUCAUAGAAUAAUUAGUGUUCUAGUGAUAAGCCUUCAUUCAGUACUCGGUUCUUAUACUUAGCUGCCGGGAAACUUUUUUAAGGAUCGCUCUUAGCUGCCCGACAGCAACCUUAUUCGAAACAUGUUCAAAAACAAGGUGUGGCUAUAUGGCGCGGUAGCCGUGCAAGACGACAACAAAUCCUUUCGUCAGGGAAUGAUAACCGAUGUUCUUCCAGUGGAGCGGAGCUUCAUUGUCGACUUCGAUUAUCCAGAUCAUCAUGCCGAAAUAGUGCCACUUGAUCGCUGUUUUGGUCCCAUUUCGCCUGAUUUCCAUGGGCUUGAUUCCUUUGCUCCCGGAGACUCCAUUGAAGUCCUAUGCCGCAGCCGCGAACAGGACGCCUGGCGCUGGACGCCGGCCAUCGUUAUUGCUGGAUCGAACGAAACCUUCGCUUUUGUGGAGAUGGAGCGCAAUGGAAAGACCGUCCGUCAGGUGGUAUCGCGACUACAUGUUCAAAACACGGCAGAAAGAGAGUCGAUAGAUUUCGGACGAUACCAACGAUACAGUGUGCAGCUGAGCCGACCGCUUUUGCAACUGGCUAGCGCGUGCAGCCAGGAGGAUUUGCACUGGUGGAAUCGCCGGCACGGGAGUGACUCACCGGCUUUGUUGGUGAAGAUUGAAGAGGGCUGUCUGAUUUAUAUUACCCGCGGCCCAAAGCCCCACUCCCGUUUCGCACCAGGGAAUUUCGAAGAACUGGCCGAAAUUUUCCGAAGAAUGGCUGACCGUUCACGUGGUAGCGAGAAUCCUCGGACAUCUGCACCCAAGGGUCGUCUACAUUGCGGUUUUGAGCAGGGCCAGAAAGAACCCGACACCGGCAUCCUUCCAGCGUGCAUCAACGCAAUUUUGCCGCCGGAAUCCAUUAGCCAUAUAUUUUCAUUUCUAGAGAUACGCGAUCGGAUACGGUGCCGUCUGGUUUGCAGAACGUGGCAGGACAUUUCCAUGUUGUGCGUACUACCUGUGAAAAUCGAAGUUUGUUCGUAUCUACCGGACGAUUUUGCCAUGGCAGUGGAUCAUUGCGUUACUCAUGGCACGAAGACGCUGAUUUUCCAAUGCUAUCACUGUCAGUGCGAGAGGGUGCAUCGUGCGCUUGAAACUCUAUUUAGUUUACUGCAAGUCAAAGACAUACGACUUAAAACAAUCGUUUUUUCCAAGUGCGAUGUGUGGGCCGACGAUAUUCUAGCCUUCUCCGACGCUCUUGUGCUGAAAUUUCGCUUGAAAUUGCACGGUAUUUGCGAUAUCCUGGUGCUGGACAAUGUGCGCGUGUGUGGGUUGCCUUAUGUGGACGCCGAGACAUGUCACUGCAUAUCAACACAAAAAACAGGCUUUUUUUGCGUCGAACAUAUUGGACCUGGCUGCGGACGUGGUGGUGGAGAAGUGCGUGAUUGCUAUCGGUAAUCAACUGCAAAUGGAAUCGGCGCUGGGCGUGCUGGAGAAGGGGUGUCCCCAUGUACGCUCAGAGCACCUUUCCUUGCUGCAAAGUCGACUGGAGAUCGGAGUCUUGACGACGGCUCUGUUCUAUGGGUGUUAAAGCAGUGGCAGGCCGGUGACCUAAGGUUUGCCAGAAUGUCACUCGACGCUGAUUUUCCCUGGGCAAAAGUACCGUUGGAAUCGCUGACGAAAUUGGCCAUCUUCAUCUUGCAGUAACAUGUGGCCGACAAUUAUCCCCAACGAGCCCCUUGUCAUAAAUAUUGAACAUAGAAACAAAAAUCUACAAGCAGUUUUUCAUCCUUCAGUGGCCACAUUACGAGCAUAGCAAAAGAGUAUCAUGAGCAUGUAGGUAUUGAUAAUUAGGAUAGAUACAUGGGAUUCUUAUUAAGAAAUUUGAGAAAGUGUUUUCUGUUGCUUGCGGGGGAUUCGACCAUGUUGUUCAUGGGCAGUCUGAGCAUCGCCGUGGCCGCAGAAGAAAACAAUCUAAGAGAGCAAUACCGAUGUGAAUAGAAUUUGUACAAUUCUCGACAAUCGGCUGUGUCCACCGACUACGGCCAUGAUCACGGCAUCGCUGAGACCGCCAUGCUAGAGCUAUUUCGACGUAAACGGACGGCUAAAAAACUGAGAACCUCUCGGAUAUUUUAACCGUCCUCGUGAUGUGCCGAGAACGGUUCAGCUGGCGCCACAGCUGGUACAUGUCCGCUAAAGGUCACCAACAGGUAAGGGUGACGCCUCAAAGAUAUACGUCUCCGCUGCACGUGGCGGUCAAUAUCUUGGUAAAAGGAUUUAACGAUACAUGAAUCAAUAAAUAUUAAUUUACCGCUUGUCUAAGUUCCGCUGAUGCUCCAUAGUAGUCGGAGUCGUUGAGCAGAAUGCAUUUAGAUGCAGACGAGUUGCGCUGCAUGUGAGGAAUGACCUGUGCGUGGCGUACGCGGCCAACAUUGGCGGCACGGCGGCGCUGACCGGCACGAACCAGCCGCACGAUGCCCAUUAUCGUCUCCAAGGGACAUACCAGCCACCGGCGUGAACUUUGCCACGUUUCUCUUGUUCUCCCUGCCGGGAAUGCUGCUGACGCUGAUCGUGGCCGUUAUCUGGCUGCAGUGGAUGUUUAUCAGCACAUGGGGCGUUGAUUGCCGCACUGCUGCAAAGGGUACUUUCUGUGCGUUUUCAGGAAAGAAACACGACGAAAUGACAAAAAAAAUCCUUAAAAAAAUCUGUAUGUUUUUGCAAACUACUUCUACACAAAAAAUCUGAAAACUGUAUAAUUCAACGGGAAAUUAUGAUUGUUUACCGUUGCUCAGUGUUAUUAUUCAAUCCGUCGCAAAAGAAAAAACACCCGAAAAUGGCUCGGCGUCGGACUGA